rnacentral:lncRNA from 1 species
UGGCCGUGAGCCCAUCUGCCGCGCUCAUGGGAUGGUGCCAUGCCAAUCUUUCUCUGCACUUCCAUUCCCAUCUGUAAUGUGAGGAAGAUCUUUCCUUCUCCYCUCAAUAGUCGUCGAGAUGAAUGGCUGCAAGGGUCUCUGUGAAUCCCUGUGAGUGACUGGGACCUCAGACUCCGUCRUAAUUCAGGCCAGACCAGACUCAUUGCAAAGUUAAAUUGUAAGGGGAAAACUUGCUGGAAUAUAAAGAACAUGGAGGCCCUCAAGGAGACCUGGUAAGAGCCCAGUGACCGAACCUGUCCCAUCAUUGAAACA